UACGUAGGGUGCGAGCGUUAAUCGGAAUUACUGGGCGUAAAGCGUGCGCAGGCGGUUUUGUAAGCCAGAUGGGAAAUCCCCGGGCUCAACCUGGGAAUGGCAUUUGGGACUGCAAGGCUGGAGUUUGGCAGAGGAGACUGGAAUUCCUGGUGUAGCAGUGAAAUGCGUAGAUAUCAGGAGGAAUACCGAUGGCGAAGGCAGGUCUCUGGGCUAUAACUGACGCUCAUGCACGAAAGCGUGGGGAGCAAACAGG
rnacentral:rRNA from 1 species